rnacentral:rRNA from 1 species
GAUGAACGCUGGCGGCGUGCCUAACACAUGCAAGUCGAACGGGGUGUCAUUUCUUCGGAGACGACACUUAGUGGCGGACGGGUGAGUAACGCGUGGGUAACCUGCCUCAUACAGGGGGAUAGCAGUUGGAAACGACUGAUAAUACCGCAUAAGCGCACAGUACCGCAUGGUACAGUGUGAAAAACUCCGGUGGUAUGAGAUGGACCCGCGUCUGAUUAGCUUGUUGGCGGGGUAACGGCCCACCAAGGCGACGAUCAGUAGCCGGCCUGAGAGGGUGAACGGCCACAUUGGGACUGAGACACGGCCCAA